rnacentral:rRNA from 1 species
UACGUAGGGUGCGAGCGUUGUUCGGAGUUACUGGGCGUAAAGGGUGCGUAGGCGGCUUGACAAGUCGAGUGUGAAAUCCCCCGGGCUUAACCUGGGAGCUGCAUUCGAAACUGUCUUGCUAGAGUAUGGGAGAGGGAGGUGGAAUUUCAGGUGUAGCGGUGAAAUGCGUAGAUAUCAAGAGGAACACCCAUGGCGAAGGCAGCUCGCUGGCCUAUAACUGACGCUGAGGCGCGAAAGCUGGGGGAGCAAACAGG